rnacentral:rRNA from 1 species
GGGGAAUAUUGCACAAUGGGCGAAAGCCUGAUGCAGCAACGCCGCGUGAGUGAUGAAGGUCUUCGGAUUGUAAAGCUCUGUCUUUUGGGACGAUAAUGACGGUACCAAAGGAGGAAGCCACGGCUAACUACGUGCCAGCAGCCGCGGUAAUACGUAGGUGGCGAGCGUUGUCCGGAUUUACUGGGCGUAAAGGGUGCGUAGGCGGAUGUUUAAGUGAGAUGUGAAAUACCCGGGCUUAACUUGGGUGCUGCAUUUCAAACUGGAUAUCUAGAGUGCAGGAGAGGAGAAUGGAAUUCCUAGUGUAGCGGUGAAAUGCGUAGAGAUUAGGAAGAACACCAGUGGCGAAGGCGAUUCUCUGGACUGUAACUGACGCUGAGGCACGAAAGCGUGGGUAGCAAACAGGAUUAGAUACCCUGGUAGUCCACGCCGUAAACGAUGAGUACUAGGUGUAGGAGGUAUCGACCCCUUCUGUGCCGCAGUAAACACAUUAAGUACUCCGCCUGGGAAGUACGAUCGCAAGAUU